CUUAUCAAGAGUGACGGAGGGGACUGGCCCGAUGAAGUCCGGCAACCUUUUCAGUAAGGUGCCAAUUCCAGCCGGGAUCAUCCCGGAAGAUGAG
rnacentral:ncRNA from 1 species